UCUCAGCCUCUGCCUCUCUUUCUUACACUCAGCUUCUACACAACCACGUUAUUCUCCUCCACUCACUCUCGUCUACAUAACCACGUUUCUACACUAAUUUUUGGUUUCGUCUCGUCUAUCUCUGCCUCACGCGAGUCGCUAGAGCACAUGACGUCGGUGCGAGCUUCCAGAGGACACAACGGCGAUGGGUUUUCUGGUUCGCUCUCUCUCCUCUCCUCUCUCACCGAUCCGCCCUCCAAACGAUGCUGCCACCUCUAUGACGCCGACGCGAACGCCGGUACCUGCAAACUACACCUCUACGACGCCAACGUCGGUACACUAUCAUCUCUCAACAUUUAUAUAUAUAAAUGUUUAAAUGUUUUUUUUUAUUUUAUUAAUUUUGUUUCUGUAUAUUAACUUUUUUCUCUCUCUCUGAUUAGCUAUGAAGAAAAAAUCAGUCUGAUUUUAAGGUAUAUCUACUUUAUGAGUCGAUGGCAAAGUUGCAUUUAUUUCUUGGUCGACAACUAGGGAAUAGCUCAGGUAUUUCUGAAUUUUGGGGACUUGAGAUGGGGCAAUGUCUUUAUUUGGUUCAUACCUGGAUUCUGAAACUGGGGUGCUUCACUUUAUUCAUGUGAUCAUCAUCCUGAUGCACUUCGCCAGCUAGAUCAGCAUUUGAAAACAUAAAAGAAAGUAUACUACCAUUGUUUUUUUUUUUGUUCUUUGCAACAGUUUAUGCUAUUUCAAAUUGGAGGUGGUUCCUGAUAGCUUUUUGCCAUGUUAUUGGAAGUGAGAUUGAAUCUUUAGUGAAGUUGAAGGAGGCGUUUCAUAAUUGUAAAGAUACAGAAAAUGAGAUUGUGUUGAAGAUACAAAGGUUAAUUCAUUUCACUAUUUCCUUUAAAAAUC